UACGUAGGAUGCAAGCGUUGUCCGGAUUUACUGGGCGUAAAGCGCGCGCAGGCGGCAUGGUAAGUAAGGUGUGAAAUCCAUCUGCUCAACGGGUGGGGUGCAUUUUAGACUGCCAAGCUUGAGGUCGGUAGAGGGGGGUAGAAUUGCUGGUGUAGCGGUGAAAUGCGUAGAGAUCAGCAGGAAUACCCGUGGCGAAGGCGGCCCCCUGGGCCGUACCUGACGCUGAGGCGCGAAGGCUAGGGGAGCGAACGGG
rnacentral:rRNA from 1 species